GGAUGUGAGGGCGCUCUGACAUCCAUCACCCCAUUGAUCGCCAGGGUUGAUUCGGCUGAUCUGGCUGGCUAGGCGGGUGUCCCCUUCCUCCCUCACCGCUCCAUGUGCGUCCCUCCAGAAGCUGCAUGCUCGGUCGAAGAGGACGGCCUUCCUCAAAUGGAGACGGAUACGAGUAGCUGCGCUCCCCUGCUAGAACCUCCAAACAAGCUUUCAGAUGUAUCUAUCAAAAGAGAUGCUUAAAAAAAAGACACUAGGAUUUAUAAUUAACCUUGACUAUUUCCAGAGUAUAGUGACAGUAUUU
ensembl:misc_RNA 7SK 7SK RNA